GAACUAAUGCCAUUGCGUGACUAGAUCACUUUAGCCAAAUCUCGCGAUAAACAUUUCCGCCAUUUUAUUUUACACGAGGCAGCUGUCGGAGAGCAACGGGUGAGCAACAGUCUGAGUGAAAACCUUCACAUUUCUACUUCGAUCUUAAGAAAGCCAUACAGGUUUGGAACCAAGUGAAAGUGGUGACCAUAGACCUGCAUUAUAUGACUGACAGACAAGAAUAGUUUGACCUAAAAAAUUGAAACUACUGCGGAAACAAAGACACCUACAUCUUGGACGUCCUUAAGGUAAGCUAAAACAUGCCAAAAUUUAAUUUCAAAGUGAACUAUCCCUUUAAACUUGAGGGAAGAACUAAAGUAGAAAUGAAAAUAAAAUCUGUUUUCACCUUCAUUAGAAUGAUAAUUAAAAAAAAUACUGUAUUUCAGUUUCAAAACACAUUAUGAUAGUAGUCAGACAUGUCUUGGGAUAACAGUGUUACAUAAUCAAUUAUAAUGUUAAUUUUAUUUCCAUAUUCAGAAGUUAUGGAUCCCAAAUAUCUAAGAGAAUGGCGUCGCUUGAGAGAUCGAGUUAAUGCUCUUGCUGAAAAUUAAUAGGUCCUUUUCAUUGCCAUUUAAGUGAAAUUACAGAACUUGCAUAUAUGAG